AGAAAGACUGAUGCAGAGCGAGAAGCAAGAACGUCAAGUCACCAGUGAAGGUAAAAGCACAAGAUGUGAUAUUGUUAGCAUUCUUAGAAGAGUUUUCUCCCAGAUCAUCAGUUUGCAACAUAUACAAAACCUUGUUCACACUGAAAUAAACUGAAUAUUCACACUGCUGUUAUGAUGGUCAGCAAUCAUUUGUGUUCACACUGAUCCUGAUCUGCUGCAGAAAAGCACCUUAGGAAGCGAGUGGGAAGAUGAGAGUGCGAAAUAUUUGGAAGAUGAAUAACUGAGCAUGAAAAAAGUGUCUUGGAGAGUAAUAGUUCUUCCCUCCUCCUGAAAUGUGUUUCCCAUGACCAGCAAAAAAAAUGACAAGCUAUGAUUCCUCUAUGUUUCAUCAACAAGACUUGGACAUUUUGUUAUAGGCUGCAUUAUUAGAAAAGACGUUAUUUAGAUUUUUCAGCAGAUUUCUAGUAAAAAUAGAAUAAAAAUCUAAUCAACAAAUCUUGAGAGUUACCAUGAAAUAGAGCCCCCUUCUGUUUCACUGCACAGGAAGUACAGUGAAAGUGCAGGAGUUUUUUUGUUUUCUUUUGCUGCCUUGCUUUAACCAGUUUUGCUUUUCAUUACUUAAUACACAGUUUUUACUAUGCAAAGCAGAAUGUAUUUCUAAUUACUUUAUCUUGGUAUAAUCACGUAAAAAGUCAUAAACACAUUAUCAUCUUUAAAUUUGUUUGUUAUAAUCUGUUUGUUAAAGCAAGUUGUUAACAACCUAGUUGUUAAAAUGCACAAUAUCAUUUCCUU